CAGUUUGCCGACCAUGGCACUAAGGAAUUCAGUGCAAGGAGCACCAGUAGGUAGCCCCCAACCCAGGCCACUGGGAGGCAUCUUAGCACCCUCCGGCCCCCCCCUCACCCCAGCCCCAGACUUUCAAGGGAGAGAGAGAGACAGAGAGAGAGAGAGAGAGACAGAGAGAGAGAGAGAGGCAGAAGGGCCACAGGAUCCCGUAGCCACAGCGCAGAGCUGGGCCUUUCCUCCCGUCUGUUUGCUGACACGCAGUGGUCCGGGAAACAGCCCCACUAUGAUGCCUGCAGACUGGGGUCAAGUCUUGGCCACUCCGCCUCCUUAGAGAGGUCUCUGCUCCCACCUGCAAAGUGGGACCAAUUCCAACCCCCACCCGCCUCCCUGUGCAGGGCUGCUGUGCAUAUAUAAAGGCUCUGCAAAUACAGUGCUCACUAGGUCAAUAUCCUCCCUCUUCAGCCUUGCCCCACCCCAGGGGGAGGGGGGGGAAAGAGAACGGGUUUAUAAAGACAGAGCUGGCUCAGCUCCCACCUGAUUCCCCCCUCCCCCUAUAAGGUGAGCAGUGUCCCUUUCAUUAGGGUUCCAAGGUGAAGGGACGUGCUCAAGGCCACAUGCAAGGGCCACACCCCAUAGAAACUUCGGUGUCUGCCUCUCACUUUUCUCCCCUUACAAACAGAACCAAAGGUACUGGGGCACAAAACCUAGGCCAGAGGGCGUGUUGCUUGCAUAGGUUUUGCAAGAAGUGGCUGUUUGGUUUCUGAGGCCUGGGGACACUCCUUCCAGGGGUGCCCAGGGCCCACCACCCACAUGCCCCUGGGUGUUACAUCCGGACUGCCGAGCCCACGUGCUGCCUCCCUGACCCACCCCAAGUUGGCGACCAUGAAUUCAGCAGAGCCUCGUGUGCCUUUGUGUCCCCAAAAGGCCUUGUCUGGGAGGAAGGCCAGCAAAGCCACUUAGAAAGUAAGGGAGGAAAGGGCUACAUCCUCCAUGCCUCUCUAGACAGCCCUGGCCUGCUCAAAACACCCUUCUCAAAACACCCUCCCAGCCACUGCUGCUUUCAAACGAAUACACCCCCAGGUGGGCAGGGCUGGCAUUACUCUUCUCGUUUUACAAUAAAGGAACCCAGAGAAGCUGCGCGAUUAGAUUGAGGCUCUUCCACGUUCCUGACCUCAACUAAGACCCACGCUCCCCAGGGUCCAGAUGGGAACUCUAGGAGGUGGGAGUAGGGCCACAGGGCAGGGGGCAGGGCUUGAAAAGUCCAGACUUCCAAGAGGCGUCACAUGCAGCAGGCCAUUUCGCCUCUCUGUGCCUCAGUCUCCUCAUCUCUAAAAUGGGAGUGAGGACACUGGGUCUGGCAUCUCUAAACGCUCCCUUCGCUUAUUCUCACAGUGCUUUGGGGCAAGCUGGGAAGCAGCUGGGGAACAACUCCACAAGCUACACCCCCCACCCCCACCCCACCCCCGGGCAGCUUAAGUCCAAAGGAGAGAAGGCAUCUUGAACCAAGGCCAUGAGGGGGCUGCAGGAGCUCCGUGCCAGGAGUCUCUAGAAGGUGCCAAAUGAACUUGAAUCUUCAACUCCGGACCUUCAGAGAGCAAGCUGGGCAAGGAAAACACAGGGCCUGGAAAACACCCACGACAGGGACACGGAACACUGCGUUCUCCUGGCUCAUCCACUAACCAGCCUUGUGGCCUUGACCCCUCCCCUCCCUCCGGGUACCUCGGUCUCCCUUCUGCCUGAGGAGGUGACCUUUCAGGCCCUCCAGCUCAGAGAGUGCUGGAAACAGCUUUCCGAGUUCUCUUCCUCCAGGCACAGACAGGAAGAGACACUUUUCAACAAGAUGGGGACAUGACGCCUUGUGGGACGAGAUAAUGCGAUGUCAAGUGCUCAGCAUGAAAUGCAGAUGCUGCUGUAGCUCUGCGGACAGGCUGCAGCUGUCUGGAAAGGCCCGCAGCCCUAGUGUCUCAGCCGCCGCCGCCGCCGCCGCCGCCAUGGCCUCACAGCAGC